rnacentral:lncRNA from 1 species
GACUAGCACUUUUGAAGUAGUUUCAUAUAUGUAAAUUUUAUUUCAAAAAAAUUGAAGAAUUUAUGCCCGAGCUCACACAAAAAAUUAAGUGCUAUGAUCGUUAACCCCAACAUGUUUAAUUAUUUGCUUCUUUUGCACACAGGGGGAGCAUUUGCGUUGUAUUCCUUAAUAUGUCGACAUGCAAAAGUGAGUCUCAUCCCAAACCAGGAGCCAGAGGAUAGAGAGCUUUCCCGCUACGGUCUGGACAUACCAUCAAAUCAAUUUAGAAGGGCUCAGAAUAUCAAACAUAAGUUGGAAAACACUAAAUUUGCAAGAUUGUUUCUUGUCUUCCUUGCGAUCCUUGGAACAUCGAUGGUCAUUGGCGAUGGAAUUAUCACUCCUUCCAUCUCAGGUCUCUAAAUAUCAAUAUACACUCUCUAUCCCAUCCCUUGAUCAUCAUAUCAAACUAGUACUGCCGAAAUUAGCUCAUAAAGAUAUAAACUGUCCAACCUGCUGAGUAUAUUUAAAUGACGAGUCAAUUUGGGCACAUCCCAAGUCAGCGCAUCUAAAGGUUGGGCUGGUCUUGAGGUAUAAAUAUGUAACCCAAAUUGAGCCAUAAUAUCACUUAUCAAAAGACUUCUAAAUUUUUUUUAAUUAGAUAUGUAAGAUAUAGUCAUACUCCCUCAGUUCUAUAUACACUACUAACAACAACAACGACCUAGUAAAAUCCCACAAUUGGGGUCUGGGCAGAGCAGUGUGUACGCACACCUUACCCAUUAUACACUAACAAUAAAAGAAUUUUUGUACUAUCAAGUCACCCAAAAGAAAACUAUAAGUAAUUGUCAAUAAUAAGUAGUACAAAUAAAAAAGACGGAAAACCUGCUACAACAGAAAAAAUAACACAAAUAAUAAUUAUAUAAGAUAAAUCAUUAUUUAAUCUGGUGUGUUUCAUGUGCAGUUCUCUCUGCCGUAAGUGGGAUCAAGCCUCUAGGCCAAGGUAUAGAAAUUAAAAGGAUGCUAAUGAAUUCUUCUUUUUCUCUUAUUCAAUUUCAAUGAUCAAACAACUGAAAAAAAUGGAUAAUGAUCCUUGCAGAAGCGAUUGUGGGUGUUUCCGUUGCAAUACUGGUAGCCCUCUUCUGUUUUCAACGUUUUGGUACAGACAAAGUGGGAUACUCAUUUGCUCCAGCCAUAUGCAUUUGGUUUUGUUUAAUAAGUGGUACCGGUAUGUACAACUUGUUCAAGCAUGAUGUGAGUGUCUUACGUGCCUUUAAUCCCAAAUACAUUUUUAACUACUUCAAAAGAAAUGGUAAAAAAGGAUGGCUUUCUCUUGGUGGAGUUAUCCUCUGCAUUACAGGUUAGAAUUUUAUUUACAGUAUCCGUAUAAUUAAACGGUUAUACCAUGCUACUUCACGUCUGUGUUCUUAUCUGGUGAAAGACUAUUUUAUGAAACUAUUACAGGAUCCGAAGCUAUGUUUGCUGAUUUGGGUCACUUUAGUGUGCGGUCUGUUCAAGUAAGUCUUCUGCAUUUUUUAUUUUCUUCUUUGCCCUAAGUAAUCAAAAAGAUGUACUUCCUCUUCCCUUUUUAUGUGGCACACUUUUCGUUUUAAAUUGUCCUUUAUUAUAUUUGAUAUUUGUUUCUAGUUUUUGGUCAAUCUAAGUGAACUCACCAUGUAUAUAUAUUGCAGAUAAGCUUCAGUUGCUUAGUAUUUCCAUCUAUCCUCUCUGCUUAUAUUGGGCAAGCUGCUUACCUUACAAAAUUCCCAGAAAAUGUGGGGAAUGCUUUUUAUGCCUCUGUUCCAGGCAAGUCUCCUAUAUAUAUGUGGCAAAUUUGUUAACUUUUUCCAUAUUCGUUAUAUAGAUAUUGAGGCCUUUUGGGUUAAAGCCCAAUGGGAAAACACUGUGAGGCACCAAAGAUCGGACCAAAGUGGACAAUAUUUUGGCAGUUGAGCCUGGGUCGUGAAAGAUAAACUAAUCAUAAAAUUAUUUACUUUAUAAAUACCAUGCAUAAUAUUGAUUUUGUUGGUGUUGCUUACAGAUCCACUUUACUGGCCAACAUUUGUAGUGGCUGUUGUUGCGGCCAUUAUUGCAAGUCAAGCAAUGAUAUCUGGAGCUUUUUCUAUUGUGGCUCAGGCCCAAAGUCUAGGUUGUUUCCCAAGGGUGAAGGUAAUUCACACAUCUGCAAAGCACGAGGGUCAGGUUUACAUUCCCGAGUUGAAUUACUUCCUCAUGGUUGCAUGUGUUGUAGUUACUCUCAGCUUCAAAACCACAGGAAAUUUGGGGAAUGCUUAUGGAAUUUGUGUGGUUAGUGCUGAGCUCAUAACCACAAAUAUGGUGACAUUAGUAAUGCUUCUUAUAUGGAAAAUUAGCAUAUGGCGGAUUAUCUUAUUCUACGUGGUGUACGUUACCAUAGAAUCUACAUAUCUAUCCGCUCAGCUGACAAAGUUCGUGCAAGGUGGUUUUCUACCUUUGGCUUUCUCAUUUGUGCUCGUGAUCAUUAUGGGGAUUUGGCACUAUGUUCAAAAACAUAGAUAUGAAUUCGAGCUCAAGAACAAGGUUUCAAGUGACUACAUUACGGACUUAGCCAAAAAUCCAGACAUCAAAAGAGUACCUGGAAUAGGACUACUCUACUCUGAAUUAGUACAGGGGAUUCCACCAAUAUUUCCCCACUUUGUCUCCAAUAUUCCGUCGGUCCAUUCUAUUAUAGUUCUGGUGUCAAUUAAAUCCAUUCCUAUAAACAAAGUAGCGCUGGAGGAACGGUUCUUGUUCAGACAUGUUCAGCCUAGAGAAUACAAGGUGUUCCGAUGUGUAGUUAGGUUAGGGUACAAUGAUCAACUUGGGAAACCAGAGGAAUUUGAAAACCAAUUGGUGGAACAUUUGAAAGAGUUCAUUCGAGAUGAAUACUAUAUUCUUGCAGCACAUGCUGAUCAAGUUGCAGAUAGAGAAAUUGAACCUGCAGUAUCUGGCCAACUAGUGGCUGGAAAUUCAUCCCGGGUCUACACGGAGGAAGAGCUGGAGCAACAAGUAGAUUCUAGAGUUUCAUCAGCUGGUUCGAUUCGAUCAAUGAACACUUCAGCAGCUCAGUCGAAUCAUUCAUCAAAUAGAAUACAAAUGGUCCCACCAAGUUUGGAAGAAGUAGAAGUGAUGCAGUUUGUGGAAAAAGCAAAGGAGCAAGGAGUGUUCUAUCUCCUGGGAGAAGCAGAGGUGGUCACUAAACAAGAUUCUUCAUUCUUGAAGAAAUUUGUUGUCAACUAUGCCUAUAAUUUCUUGCGCAAGAACUUCAGGCAAGGGGAGAAAGUUAUGGCCAUUCCCAGGACUAGGCUGCUAAGGGUCGGCAUGACUUAUGAAUUAUAAUUGUGACGUAUCAGACAGUAAUAAACUUACUACCAAAUACUCUCAUAACAAACAAACAGAGCAAAAGAUCUCUGCAUUUUUCCUAAAACUUUAUUUUUAUCCUUUAAUACUGUGUGCAAGCUUUCAAUUUGAGUUAAUGUACUAUUAAAACCUGUUUGGAAAUGUUUACUCCCUCUAUCCUCUCUAUCCCAUGUUCUAACUUUGUUUGCCCCUAUUAAUAUUGAUGACUUUCUACUAUUAAAAAACACUCCUUAAAUAGCUCUAAUUUGGAAGAAGUCUAGUCUAGUACUUCGGUAUGACCUUCCUAUAUGUAUGUAAUAAGUAUAAUUUCAACAGAUUAAUGAGUAAACGUAGAAAUUCACGCUGAAAACAUAUAUUGACCAAGGUGUUUCGACCUUGAAGUAGAAUGAGAAACAAGAAAAGGAACAAAAUUAGUCUGAUCAGCUUCUCUUCCCGAUAGAGCCUUAUCCCCACCAAUAAGAUUUGAUCAGCAUAUAUAACACUAAAUUUGUAUCUGUCCUGAACCAUUUACAUUCAGCAGAGCAAACAUUGGACUAAAAUCUUGGAGAGUUCAUGCUAAUAGCAUGAAGCACAAUACUACAAUAUUGCAUUUCAUUUUCAAAAAAUAUUUUCUGAACCAUAGAAAACUAGAAGAACAUCAGUAACAAGGUAAUACCUGGAUUUUUGAGCUGUCAAAUAUAAAACCAUUUAGGGCAUAUGUUUUGCCACUGAAAAGUACACAAAAGCAAAUUGACCAUGAGUCCAUGAUUUACCAAACGAACUACACAGAUCUGAACAGAAAAAGAAAGCAUACGAAAGAGAGCAUUAGCAAGUCAAAAUUAACUCCGAAAGAAGCACUUCAUGAAACAUCCCAAAAUAUACUCCAAUUGAUUUAUUACACUUAUUAUCAGGACAAUCAACACAUAGUUCCUUAAUUCCCUAUUACAUUUCAUGAUUACAACAAAUAAAAAAAAAAUUUAAAAAAAGUAGCAUUGUGUAAAGGAAUCAGUACAAAGUUCACCUACAAAAUAAAGAGAAGAAAGCAAACAAUCUCUAACGAGCAAAGUCACAGAGACUUACCGGUAGAACGACGGUUGCGAAAGGAAGGAGAAGCGGAGAGGCAAGUCUAGCCUCUUUCCAGUCACUGAUCAGCAUGGGCGAAGUAGCCGUCGAUCGAGAGAAAAAAUGACAAAGGCUAAUUGGUUUUUAAU